rnacentral:rRNA from 1 species
UGAACGCUGGCGGCAGGCCUAACUCAUGCAAGUCGAACGGUAACAGAAAGCAGCUUGCUGCUUUGCUGACGAGUGGCGGACGGGUGAGUAAUGUCUGGGAAACUGCCUGAUGGAGGGGGAUAACUACUGGAAACGGUAGCUAAUACCGCAUAACGUCGCAAGACCAAAGAGGGGGACCUUCGGGCCUCUUGCCAUCGGAUGUGCCCAGAUGGGAUUAGCUAGUAGGUGGGGUAACGGCUCACCUAGGCGACGAUCCCUAGCUGGUCUGAGAGGAUGACCAGCCACACUGGAACUGAGACACGGUCCAGACUCCUACGGGAGGCAGCAGUGGGGAAUAUUGCACAAUGGGCGCAAGCCUGAUGCAGCCAUGCCGCGUGUAUGAAGAAGGCCUUCGGGUUGUAAAGUACUUUCAGCGGGGAGGAAGGGAGUAAAGUUAAUACCUUUGCUCAUUGACGUUACCCGCAGAAGAAGCACCGGCUAACUCCGUG